GAGGAACCAGGCUGGAUGUUGGAAAGUCAGAGAGCCGUGUCUCUGCAGUCAGAGGUUUUUGUACGACGACUCAACCAGUUUGUAUCACUGUGGUACACGUUUGGUGGAGGAACCAGGCUGGAGUUUGGAAGUGAUACCCGCCCCACCCUGACAGUGCUGCCCCCCUCCAGUGUGGAGCUGCAGCAGCAGCAGGUUACCCUCCUGUGUCUGGCCAACAAGGGCUUCCCCUCAGACUGGACUCUGUCCUGGAAGCUGGACGGCAGCAGCAGCAGCAGCUGGGAGCAGAGCAGGAGCCCCGGGGUGCUGCAGAAUGACGGCCUCUACAGCUGGAGCAGCACCCUGAGGAUCCCUGCAGACCAGUGGAGGAAGGUGGGCUCUGUGACCUGUGAGGCCUCCCAGAGCUCCCAGCCUGCAGUCACAGAGACACUGAGGAGAGACCAGUGUUCCCAGUCCUGAGCUGAUUCUGAUACUGGCUUUAAUCUGUCACUGCUCUCACUCUUUCUCUGCUGAUUAUUCUCUAUUUUCACUGAGUCAUGUUUGCUUUGUCAUGUUUGUCACUGUUCAGAUAAUAAAUAUUUACUCAUCAA